rnacentral:rRNA from 1 species
AUCUUACUGAAAUAAUUUUAAGUAUAAUCUGCUCAAUGAAAAUAAAUAGCCGCAGAAUUUUUACUGUGCUAAGGUAGCAUAAUCAUUAGUCUUCUAAUUUAAGACCAGAAUGAAAGAUUUAACGUUUUAAUUUCUAUCUAAAAUUUUAUAUAAAAAUUAUCUUGAACAUAAAAUAUGUUUAUAAAUAAAAAAGACGAUAAGACCCUAUUGAACUUAACUUUUGUUUUGCUGGGGAAGCAAAAUAAAAAAUAUUUUAAUUUAAAUUUUUAAAUAAAAGAUCCAAUAAAAUUGAUAAAUAACCAAGUUACCAUAGGGAUAACAGCGUAAUAUUUUUAUAAAGUCAUAUUUAAAGAAAAGAUUACGACCUCGAUGUUGAAUUAUUUAUCUUUUAAGCGCAAUAGCUUAAACAGAAGGUCUGUUCGACCUUAAAAUUUUUACA